AAAUUCUAUUUUUGCUAAACAGCGUUUUAGGAGUAAAGUUACCAUUGAAGCAUACAUGGCUGCGAGGAUAUGGAUUUUCGUUUUGGCGAUGUGCGUUGCAGUAUUGUUAGGACCUCAAAAAGGCAAGGCAGAAGAUUCAUUUCCUGGACCAGAAUCAAGAAUACCAGGCGGAGAAGUGCCAUGGAGUGGAAAAAAGAAAAGAUCUGUUAAAGAUGAUUUGAAUGAUAUAGAAAUGGAUAUUAUUCUGUUUGGUGAUAUUGAUUAACACGCCUAGAAGGAAUCAGUAACUUCACUUUAGUCGGGCGACUAUACAUAAACGAAUUGCAAGAUAUCUACAACAAAACGAAUCAACGACGUUAUGGCACUUUUUAUUUUGAUUUUAAUUUUACGUAGUUGUUUAAGUUGUUUGUUUGGAACAUAAAAUAAAUUUUUAUCACGUUA